rnacentral:rRNA from 1 species
UGGGGAAUAUUGCACAAUGGGCGAAAGCCUGAUGCAGCAACGCCGCGUGAGUGAUGAAGGCCUUCGGGUUGUAAAGCUCUGUCUUUUGGGACGAUAAUGACGGUACCAAAGGAGGAAGCCACGGCUAACUACGUGCCAGCAGCCGCGGUAAUACGUAGGUGGCAAGCGUUGUCCGGAUUUACUGGGCGUAAAGGAUGCGUAGGCGGAUUUUUAAGUGAGAUGUGAAAACCCUAAGCUUAACUUGGGGACUGCAUUUCAUACUGGGAAAAUCUAGAGUGCGGGAGAGGAGAAUGGAAUUCCUAGUGUAGCGGUGAAAUGCGUAGAGAUUAGGAAGAACACCAGUGGCGAAGGCGAUUCUCUGGACCGUAACUGACGCUGAGGCAUGAAAGCGUGGGUAGCAAAACAGGAUUAGAUACCCUGGUAGUCCACGCCGUAAAACGAUGAGUACUAGGUGUAGGAGGUAUCGACCCCUUCUGUGCCGCAGUUAACACAAUAAGUACUCCGCCUGGGGAAGUACGAUCGCAAGAUUAAAACUCAAAUGAAUUGACGGGGUCAUAGCUGUUUCCU